rnacentral:rRNA from 1 species
CCAAUAGCGUAUAUUAAAGUUGCUGCAGUUAAAAAGCUCGUAGUUGAAUUUCGGGACCAAUAUGUCGGUCGUGCCUCGGUACGUACUGGCAUCGUUGGUUUCUCCUUUCUGAAGAACCAUGAUGUCAUUUAUUUGGUGUCGUGGGGAAUCAGGACUGUUACUUUGAAAAAAUUAGAGUGUUUAAAGCAGGCUCACGCUUGAAUACAUUAGCAUGGAAUAAUGAAAUAGGACGUUUGAUUCUAUUUUGUUGGUUUCUAGGAUCGACGUAAUGAUUAAUAGGGAUAGUUGGGGGCAUUAGUAUUCAAUUGUCAGAGGUGAAAUUCUUGGAUUUAUUGAAGACUAACUACUGCGAAAGCAUUUGCCAAGGAUGUUUUCAUUAAUCAAGAACGAAAGUUAGGGGGUCGAAGACGAUCAGAUACCGUCGUAGUCUUAACCAUAAACUAUGCCGACUAGGGAUCGGAUGAUGUUAAUUUUUUAAUGACUCAUUCGGCGCCUUACG